CUACGGGUGGCAGCAGUGGGGAAUAUUGGACAAUGGGCGAAAGCCUGAUCCAGCCAUGCCGCGUGUGUGAAGAAGGCCUUCGGGUUGUAAAGCACUUUCAGUGGGGAAGAAAGCCUUGGGGCUAAUACCCUCGAGGAAGGACAUCACCCACAGAAGAAGCACCGGCUAACUCCGUGCCAGCAGCCGCGGUAAUACGGAGGGUGCGAGCGUUAAUCGGAAUUACUGGGCGUAAAGCGCGCGUAGGCGGUCUGAUAAGCCGGUUGUGAAAGCCCCGGGCUCAACCUGGGAACGGCAUCCGGAACUGUCAGGCUUGAGUGCAGGAGAGGAAGGUAGAAUUCCCGGUGUAGCGGUGAAAUGCGUAGAGAUCGGGAGGAAUACCAGUGGCGAAGGCGGCCUUCUGGACUGACACUGACGCUGAGGUGCGAAAGCGUGGGUAGCAAACAGGAUUAGAUACCCCAGUAGUC
rnacentral:rRNA from 1 species